rnacentral:rRNA from 1 species
UACGAAGGGUACAAGCGUUGUUCGGAAUUACUGGGCGUAAAGCGCGCGUAGGCGGACGUGUAAGUCGAUUGUGAAAUCCCUGGGCUUAACCUGGGAACUGCAGUCGAAACUGCACGUCUUGAGUGCCUGAGAGGAUGGCGGAAUUCCCGGUGUAGUAGUGAAAUGCGUAGAUAUCGUGAGGAAGACCAGUGGCGAAGGCGGAUCUCUGGACAGCUCCUGACGCUGAGGCGCGAAGGCUAGGGGAGCAAACGGG